GGUGUCUGCAGCAGCAGACGACUGCGAUCGGCGAUGACGCCGCCGAUGUGGUACGGGAGGCCGCAGUUCGCGAACGACACGUAGUCGCCCCGCUCCAGCACGACGAUCUCCGCAGAUUCGUUCAGACGCCGCGCCCGCGCAGCGACAGAUGCUCCCCCGGCGACUCCGC
rnacentral:antisense_RNA from 1 species